AUGGCCGCCUGUGUGUCGAGGUCCAGCGUCUGGAUCCGGUCGAUGUAUUCCUCCUUCCUGUUGCACUGAGACACGCAGAGAGAAAGAGAAACGCAGACUAAAAUGGACAAUGAACACUUCCUGUGCACGACAUCCUGUGACGGUCCUUGGGACUCAUGCAGAUUCAUACGGUGACAUCAUCACACGGACGACGGUUCUCACGGGUUAAACAUUCACUGUGAAUGUUACAAAUCUAAGCAGUGACGCUGAUAGACUUUGUCUGGUAAUGUAGCGGAGCGAAAGAGUGAUGGAGAGCGUCAGUGUUCCUACAAUCUGAGACUGAAAAUGGGACAUCAGCUGUUCUGAAUGCACUGUGACUGAGCGACAUGAGACUGCAGUGAGGAUGAGGUGAGACGUACCGCUGAG